UAAUUGCCAUAACUCCGAGCUCUUUUCGCUAAGUUGCACAGGUUGUAUCUCAAUCUAAGACAAUACGCUAUCAGAGCCAGUGACCUUAGAGUCACAAGGGCAUCGUUGGAAAUGACGAUGCUCCCGUGUUUGGAAAGGUGUUCCGUGGCGCAACAA
rnacentral:ncRNA from 2 species